UACAGAGGGUGCAAGCGUUGUUCGGAAUUACUGGGCGUAAAGCGCGUGUAGGCGGUCUCGCAAGUCGGAUGUGAAAUCCCUUGGCUUAACCAAGGAACUGCAUUCGAAACUAUGAGACUAGAGUAUCGGAGGGGGUGGCGGAAUUCCCGGUGUAGAGGUGAAAUUCGUAGAUAUCGGGAGGAACACCUGUGGCGAAGGCGGCCACCUGGAAGAUUACUGACGCUGAGACGCGAAAGCGUGGGGAGCAAACAGG
rnacentral:rRNA from 1 species